UGCAGAGUAGCGGACAGAAAUGUCCGUGUAAUGCAGCCAGAGAACGUUACAAGCCGUU
rnacentral:ribozyme from 1 species